UUGAAAGGAGGAAAACAGGGCUUCAGCAAUAUGUUCUAAAGGUACCACAUGCAUGUUUGUAAUGUUUAUGUUAUUAGAUUACUAAUAGACAAAUGUCCCCAAUCCCGGACAACCCCUUUAAUCAGGCUGCUCUAAAGC